rnacentral:rRNA from 1 species
AUGGAUCUCUCAUCUACCCGGCAGCAGGCCAGCAGCUCUCGCCACCGCCCUCCUCCUAGCGUGCUCCUCUUGCCGCAGCAGCAGCAGCGGCCAGCGCUGCAGUGGGGCAUGCAGCAGCAGCGGCGGCGGCGUCACGGGCGCAGCAGCGCGGCGGCGAGGGCACAUCAGCAGCACGGCGGUGAGGGCGCAGCAGCAGCAGCGGGGCGGCGGGAGGGUGCUCCAGAUCUAGCAUUGGCUUGUAUCCCUUCCGUGUCCCAGCCGUGUCCUCCCUUUUCUUUCUUUCUUUUAAUUCUUAAUUCGGGAAAUACGGUGGGAUACGCAUAUCCCUGCGUGUCCAAGCGUGUCCCCGUGUCCCGCCGUGUCAGCAUGGGGAUUCGACAACUUUUGCCGUGUCCAUGCAUUGUAGCUAAUAAGAGCAAUGAUCUGAUCAUGCACACCAACGCUCACAAAAGGAGCAUAAACACCAAUAUGCUUGAUGAGCUUAUGCUUCAUAGGGUUACACACAAUACUUAUAGCACAUGUACCCUUUGA